GCAAGUCGAGCGAGAACUUCGGUUCUAGCGGCGGACGGGUGAGUAACGCGUGGGAAUGUGCCUCAAGGUAAGGAAUAGCCUCUGGAAACGGAGAGUAAUACCAUAUGUGCCCUUCGGGGGAAAGAUUUAUCGCCUUGAGAUCAGCCCGCGUUAGAUUAGAUAGUUGGUGGGGUAAUGGCCUACCAAGUCUACGAUCUAUAGCUGGUUUUAGAGGAUGAUC
rnacentral:rRNA from 1 species